AACGAACGUUGGCGGCGUGGAUUAGGCAUGCAAGUCGUGCGUGAAAGUCAGCUUCGGCUGGCGAGUAAAGCGGCGAACGGGUGAGUAACGCGUGGGAAAUCUGCCUUUGGUGGGGGAUAACAUUCCUAACGGGGUGCUAAUACCGCAUGACAUCUACGGAUCGCAUGGUCCGCAGAUCAAAGGUGGCCUCUACUUGUAAGCUACCGCCUGAAGAUGAUCCCGCGUCCGAUUAGCUUGUUGGUGGGUAACGGCCUACCAAGGCUUCGAUCGGUAGUUGGUCUGAGAGGAUGGUCAGCCACACUGGGACUGAGAUACGGCCCAGACUCCUACGGGAGGCAGCAGUCGAGAGGCUUCGGCAAUGGGGGAAACCCUGACCGAGCGACGCCGCGUGAGGGAUGAAGCCCCUCGGGGUGUAAACCUCUUUUUCAGGGGAAGAAACCCACGGGGUCCAAUAGGCCUCGUGAUUGACGGUACCUUGAGAAUAAGCUCCGGCUAACUCCGUG
rnacentral:rRNA from 1 species